rnacentral:misc_RNA from 1 species
CAGAGUUAACAAACUCCCAAACCCAUGUGAACUUACCAUUGUUGCCUCGGCGGAACCUACCUGGUACCUACCCUGGAGCAGCUACCCUGUAGCUACCCUGGAGCGGUUACCCUGUAGCGCGCCGCCGGUGGACAUUUAAACUCUUGUUAUUUUAUUGUAAUCUGAGCGUCUUAUUUUAAUAAGUUA